UGGUGGAGUGAUUUGUCUGGUUAAUUCCGAUAACGAACGAGACUCUGUCCUGCUAACUAGGUUGUGUUUUCUCGGGUUGGUGUUUCUGGUGUUCCUUCUCGGGGCGCCGGCCCAAUCCACUUGUGAACACAACACUCUUCUUAGAGGGACUGGCGGCUGUUAGCCGCACGAGAUAGAGCAAUAAC
rnacentral:rRNA from 1 species